rnacentral:misc_RNA from 1 species
CAAGAGGGAGUCAGCCCUUUUGUGCGUGUUGUUGGCGUUCCUGUCUUUGUUCCCUUACGUCCACCCCACUCCCACAGUCGUUUCUUUUGGAUGCCGUCCGGGGAGGUUGUGGCUCCGCCGUUGCACGCAGGCAUCCAUCACAUAUACGCAGACCUCCUCCCUCCCCCCUCCCCGCGCAAGCACACCGCACACCUCCAUCAGUCAAUGCAUUCAUCUAUCAGCCACUUCGCUCUCUCUCUCUGCGCGCUUCGUAUCCAGAAAGCAAGCGGGAACACCUACUUAGCCCUCUGGUCGUUCGUGAAUUGGCACCUUUGCUCCCUGCCCUUUUUUGUUGCUGUUUCCUUGCUGGGUGCACCUCCGGCUCUAUCCAUCCUCUCGAUCGCUUGCCUCUCUCGCUCUCACCUCGCUGCAGCGUUUGACGCUCUCUCCCUCAGCCCCGAUCCCUACCUCCUCCGGGUCGUGCAGUCUCGCACUUGCGUCUCGGACUCGCACAGGCGGUGGUGCAGCAACGCUCCCCGCGUAGAGGAGGACGCUCAUCACUCACCUUAUCUUUUCUCUUGUUCUCGUUGCUUUUAUUGUUUGUUUGCUCACCAAAAGAACCAAAAAGAGAACAAAAUAAAGGCCUGUGGGUGACUGUGCGUGUGUGUGCGUGCGUCUACUGCGCCCGUCCCGUGGAAAAUCGGACGCCUCGUCAUUAUUGCCUCCCUCUUUCUCUGCGUCGUUUCUACUACGUAUUUGCACUAGUGACUUACACACUAGAAAGAAGCACUGUAGCAAAUUUUUGUGUCCCUUCCCCUCCCCUCCUCCCAUCACUCUUCACCGCCCCCCUCCCCCUCCUCCUCUCUCUCUCCGCCUCUUGCGCACCACUUUCCUCGUAG